GUGUCAGCAGCCGCGGUAAUACGGAGGGAGCUAGCGUUGUUCGGAAUUACUGGGCGUAAAGCGUGCGUAGGCGGUGACUCAAGUCAGAGGUGAAAGCCUGGAGCUCAACUCCAGAACUGCCUUUGAAACUAGGUCGCUAGAAUCUGGGAGAGGUGAGUGGAAUUCCGAGUGUAGAGGUGAAAUUCGUAGAUAUUCGGAAGAACACCAGUGGCGAAGGCGGCUCACUGGACCAGAAUUGACGCUGAGGCACGAAAGCGUGGGGAGCAAACAGGAUUAGAUACCCUGGUAGUCCACGCCGUAAACGAUGAUAACUAGCUGCCAGGGCUCUUAGAGCUUUGGUGGCGCAGCUAACGCAUUAAGUUAUCCGCCUGGGGAGUACGGUCGCAAGAUUAAAACUCAAAGGAAUUGGCGG
rnacentral:rRNA from 1 species